rnacentral:rRNA from 3 species
CCCUUUGGGUGUGACUGCGUACCUUUUGUAUAAUGGGUCAGCGACUUAUAUUCUGUAGCAAGGUUAACCGAAUAGGGGAGCCGGAGGGAAACCGAGUCUUAAUUGGGCGUUAAGUUGCAGGGUAUAGACCCGAAACCCGGUGAUCUAGCCAUGGGCAGGUUGAAGGUUGGGUAACACUAACUGGAGGACCGAACCGACUAAUGUUGAAAAAUUAGCGGAUGACCUGUGGCUGGGGGUGAAAGGCCAAUCAAACCGGGAGAUAGCUGGUUCUCCCCGAAAGCUAUUUAGGUAGCGCCUCGUGAAUUCAUCUCCGGGGGUAGAGCACUGUUUCGGCUAGGGGGCCAUCCCGGCUUACCAACCCGAUGCAAACUGCGAAUACCGGAGAAUGUUAUCACGGGAGACACACGGCGGGUGCUAACGUCCGUCGUGAAGAGGGAAACAACCCAGACCGCCAGCUAAGGUCCCAAAGUCAUGGUUAAGUGGGAAACGAUGUGGGAAGGCCCAGACAGCCAGGAUGUUGGCUUAGAAGCAGCCAUCAUUUAAAGAAAGCGUAAUAGCUCACUGGUCGAGUCGGCCUGCGCGGAAGAUGUAACGGGGCUAAACCAUGCACCGAAGCUGCGGCAGCGACACUGUGUGUUGUUGGGUAGGGGAGCGUUCUGUAAGCCUGUGAAGGUGUGUCGUGAGGCAUGCUGGAGGUAUCAGAAGUGCGAAUGCUGACAUAAGUAACGAUAAAGCGGGUGAAAAGCCCGCUCGCCGGAAGACCAAGGGUUCCUGUCCAACGUUAAUCGGGGCAGGGUGAGUCGACCCCUAAGGCGAGGCCGAAAGGCGUAGUCGAUGGGAAACGGGUUAAUAUUCCCGUACUUGGUGUUACUGCGAAGGGGGGACGGAGAAGGCUAUGUUGGCCGGGCGACGGUUGUCCCGGUUUAAGCGUGUAGGUGUGUGUUCCAGGUAAAUCCGGUUCACUUUAACACUGAGGCGUGACGACGAGGCACUACGGUGCUGAAGCAACAAAUGCCCUGCUUCCAGGAAAAGCCUCUAAGCAUCAGGUAACAUCAAAUCGUACCCCAAACCGACACAGGUGGUCAGGUAGAGAAUACCAAGGCGCUUGAGAGAACUCGGGUGAAGGAACUAGGCAAAAUGGUGCCGUAACUUCGGGAGAAGGCACGCUGACACGUAGGUGAAGUGAUUUACUCAUGGAGCUGAAGUCAGUCGAAGAUACCAGCUGGCUGCAACUGUUUAUUAAAAACACAGCACUGUGCAAACACGAAAGUGGACGUAUACGGUGUGACGCCUGCCCGGUGCCGGAAGGUUAAUUGAUGGGGUCAGCGCAAGCGAAGCUCCUGAUCGAAGCCCCGGUAAACGGCGGCCGUAACUAUAACGGUCCUAAGGUAGCGAAAUUCCUUGUCGGGUAAGUUCCGACCUGCACGAAUGGCGUAAUGAUGGCCAGGCUGUCUCCACCCGAGACUCAGUGAAAUUGAACUCGCUGUGAAGAUGCAGUGUACCCGCGGCAAGACGGAAAGACCCCGUGAACCUUUACUAUAGCUUGACACUGAACAUUGAGCCUUGAUGUGUAGGAUAGGUGGGAGGCUUUGAAGUGUGGACGCCAGUCUGCAUGGAGCCGACCUUGAAAUACCACCCUUUAAUGUUUGAUGUUCUAACGUGGACCCGUUACCCGGGUUGCGGACAGUGUCUGGUGGGUAGUUUGACUGGGGCGGUCUCCUCCUAAAGAGUAACGGAGGAGCACGAAGGUUGGCUAAUCCUGGUCGGACAUCAGGAGGUUAGUGCAAUGGCAUAAGCCAGCUUGACUGCGAGCGUGACGGCGCGAGCAGGUGCGAAAGCAGGUCAUAGUGAUCCGGUGGUUCUGAAUGGAAGGGCCAUCGCUCAACGGAUAAAAGGUACUCCGGGGAUAACAGGCUGAUACCGCCCAAGAGUUCAUAUCGACGGCGGUGUUUGGCACCUCGAUGUCGGCUCAUCACAUCCUGGGGCUGAAGUAGGUCCCAAGGGUAUGGCUGUUCGCCAUUUAAAGUGGUACGCGAGCUGGGUUUAGAACGUCGUGAGACAGUUCGGUCCCUAUCUGCCGUGGGCGCUGGAGAACUGAGGGGGGCUGCUCCUAGUACGAGAGGACCGGAGUGGACGCAUCACUGGUGUUCGGGUUGUCAUGCCAAUGGCACUGCCCGGUAGCUAAAUGCGGAAGAGAUAAGUGCUGAAAGCAUCUAAGCACGAAACUUGCCCCGA